GAUGAACGCUGGCGGCGUGCCUAAUACAUGCAAGUCGAGCGAACGGACGAGAAGCUUGCUUCUCUGAUGUUAGCGGCGGACGGGUGAGUAACACGUGGAUAACCUACCUAUAAGACUGGGAUAACUUCGGGAAACCGGAGCUAAUACCGGAUAAUAUUUUGAACCGCAUGGUUCAAAAGUGAAAGACGGUCUUGCUGUCACUUAUAGAUGGAUCCGCGCUGCAUUAGCUAGUUGGUAAGGUAACGGCUUACCAAGGCAACGAUGCAUAGCCGACCUGAGAGGGUGAUCGGCCACACUGGAACUGAGACACGGUCCAGACUCCUACGGGAGGCAGCAGUAGGGAAUCUUCCGCAAUGGGCGAAAGCCUGACGGUGCAACGCCGCGUGAGUGAUGAAGGUCUUCGGAUCGUAAAACUCUGUUAUUAGGGAAGAACAUAUGUGUAAGUAACUGUGCACAUCUUGACGGUACCUAAUCAGAAAGCCACGGCUAACUACGUGCCAGCAGCCGCGGUAAUACGUAGGUGGCAAGCGUUAUCCGGAAUUAUUGGGCGUAAAGCGCGCGUAGGCGGUUUUUUAAGUCUGAUGUGAAAGCCCACGGCUCAACCGUGGAGGGUCAUUGGAAACUGGAAAACUUGAGUGCAGAAGAGGAAAGUGGAAUUCCAUGUGUAGCGGUGAAAUGCGCAGAGAUAUGGAGGAAUACCAGUGGCGAAGGCGACUUUCUGGUCUGUAACUGACGCUGAUGUGCGAAAGCGUGGGGAUCAAACAGGAUUAGAUACCCUGGUAGUCCACGCCGUAAACGAUGAGUGCUAAGUGUUAGGGGGUUUCCGCCCCUUAGUGCUGCAGCUAACGCAUUAAGCACUCCGCCUGGGGAGUACGACCGCAAGGUUGAAACUCAAAGGAAUUGACGGGGACCCGCACAAGCGGUGGAGCAUGUGGUUUAAUUCGAAGCAACGCGAAGAACCUUACCAAAUCUUGACAUCCUUUGACAACUCUAGAGAUAGAGCUUUCCCCUUCGGGGACAAAGUGACAGGUGGUGCAUGGUUGUCGUCAGCUCGUGUCGUGAGAUGUUGGGUUAAGUCCCGCAACGAGCGCAACCCUUAAGCUUAGUUGCCAUCAUUAAGUUGGGCACUCUAAGUUGACUGCCGGUGACAAACCGGAGGAAGGUGGGGAUGACGUCAAAUCAUCAUGCCCCUUAUGAUUUGGGCUACACACGUGCUACAAUGGACAAUACAAAGGGCAGCGAAACCGCGAGGUCAAGCAAAUCCCAUAAAGUUGUUCUCAGUUCGGAUUGUAGUCUGCAACUCGACUACAUGAAGCUGGAAUCGCUAGUAAUCGUAGAUCAGCAUGCUACGGUGAAUACGUUCCCGGGUCU
rnacentral:rRNA from 1 species